rnacentral:lncRNA from 1 species
CAAUGGUUAAAAAAAAACCAUAGAAUCUUUAAAAUUCCGAGUCUACCAUGAUGCUCAGGGUGGGUUGGGGGAUGAAAGGGUGGAGGGAGAAAAAUUCCUUUUUGAGGAAAACUCUGGUUAGUAAAAGUAGAAAGAAUAACAGAAUUUGGAAAUCAACAUUUUGCAAUCUCCAAUGAUUGAUUUAGAUAAGGAUCAUAACUGGAUGCUAUGUCCUCUAGGUGAAAGUUACACUUGCAAAGUGUGGCUGACACCAUCUGAACCAAGUGAACAAAUUUAACAUCAUCAAUAGUGGGACAAUCUGACAUCAUGUGCCUAGUAAGAUGAUGCAGUGCGUUAUACAUGGAUUAUUUAUGAAAUGUCCUGCUAGAAGUGUUUAUCCUGAAUCUAAUCGGGCUCCAGCUUAAUUUAAAGUCUGUGAAAGUUUUAAAAUAUAUUACCCAUUUCCCUCCAGGAAGAUGACCUCAAUUUAUACUCUCAGCAGCGUAGUAGACUGCCAGUUUCCCUGAACAAGUUAAUUGAGACCACAAGGACACAAAAAUACACAGGCAGUAUGUGAGAUAUUCAUCAAGACAACAACUGAUCUGGAUUCUUCUCAAGACAAUGUCAUGGGUAAAAAAAGCAAGAGAAUUCUUCUACAUUACAGGAGACGUGCUUGAAUCCUGGACUUUUAAAAAAGCUAUAAAAGACAUUUUGGGACCAUUGAGGAAUUUUUAGUGUGGAAUGGUUAUAAAUGAUAUUUAGGAAUUAUGAAUGUCUUCGAUGGUCAUAAUAUUCUCCUAUUAUGGCUAUAUGGGAGAAUGUCCUCAUGUUUUAAAGAUGAAUGCUGAAGAAUUUAAAAAAGAAAAUAAUGUCUGCAACUUACUUUCAAAUGAUUUAGAAAAAUCAUGUAAAUAGGGCAACAAGUGAAAAUACCCCAAAUUCUUCUGACUCUGAAGGUCCACAAAACAUACUUGAAAAACCACUGGGCUAGGCAAUGAACAAUCUGGAUUCCCCAAAUGAGUACUUAUGAUGGUGACUGGGUGGAGGUCCUGGAAACCUGAAAUCUAUCCAUUUGUGUAUGUCUCUCCCAGUGCCUCAACACCUGCAGUUCCUUAAGGCAGCUUCAUGAAUGAACUUGUUCCCACUGGUUCUUUUUCUGACAUGUGAAAGCUUUUAUAAUCUCAGAUCCUGUCUCUUUAUCUCAUAAUAAAGAAAGCUCCCCUCAGCAUCUAUGUCAACACAGACAAAGGGUUCAAUCUGCCAAAAUGCCUCAGCAAAGUCUGGCUCUUGACUACAACUGGGGUGUGGGAUGAGGUGGCUUUUUCCUCUGAUUUCACAACCUCUAAAGGAAAU